rnacentral:lncRNA from 1 species
UUGGGGGUGGCCCCGUGCUGGGCUGCGGGGGGCUUGCAGGCUGGAGGCGCCUGAGCUCGUCUCGGGCUGCUUUUAAAUCACUGAAAUUCAAGGCGGAAUAGUCGCCUCGUUGCUUCCCCCCCUCCCCGUUAUUCGGUUUAAAUUUUCCUGCCUGGGUGCUCAGCCACACCUGAUGUUAUGUCCUGUCUUAGAGGCACAAGGCAACGCUGCAGCGCGGGCGAAAAUAACACGUCUAACUGGGUGCAGGAUGUCGCUGCUAGCUGUGCCGUUCCGCAUCGGUGCGAAAAUAAAUAGGCGCUUGAACGCCGCGGUGCUGAGCGGCUGCGGAGCUGGGGCGGGAGCUGCACCUAAGCGAAAUGCAGCGCUGGGAAGAAAGUCAACAGCAGGGUGUAAUGCUGAUUGUCAAACAAAGAGUCCCAGUCAGGAAGUCAACAUACAGGUCAGCACAGAACAAGUCAGAUAAGAAAUGAGAUGGAAUGAUAUAGUCAGUUAUUGUGCUGUGGGUCAUUCUGAAUGAUCUGAGGCAACUUGUCUGCGGUUUGUGCAGAUAGCAGCGGACCUUCUGUAGAGAUACAACUGCUGAUGACAAGCCUUGCUCAUUGAAACCAGGUAUGACUUGCUUAAUCAGAUCUCUGCAAACUUGUCUAGAUGCAUGCUAAUGGCAAUUUUUUUUUUAAGUAACUUGUAGAGAGCUUUCUGAAAAGGAAUGCUUGUUCCUGUCUUUGCCAGGAAGAUCCAGAGAGCAGGACUUGCUGUAUUUUUUUUUAUUCUCUCCCUUUGAAAUGCCAGGUGUUUCAAGUCUGACUCUCACUGUUUUGCUGUAGAAUUUUUUUGUGUAUCUGAAUACUUGUAUUCCGCCUUAAACAAAGGAAACAGGUGUUGAAUCUUCAUUCCAAAUGCUUUUUUUCCUAUAAAAAUAUUAGACACUAGCAUAAAAACAGUAAGCAAUCUUUUUUCCAGUUAACUUUUUUAAAAGUGCGUACAGUAUGAUACAAAAGUCAAGGAAACCCAAAAACCUAUGUGAAAAGCCCGGCAAAAGGAAGUAUCCAGAAGUUAGAAAAUGCCUGUGGAAAAUGGAGACACAGAUGUAUGUGAAUUACGGUCGCAUUUUAUUUCUCAUAGCCCUCUUCCCCAAACAGCAUGUGGGGUGAAUGAGGUGAGAAAUUACAGGAAGAAAGACUCUGAAGUGCUGGGCUAAGGCUGAAGGUCCUGGUCCUCCUCUGUCAUAGCCCUUUUGGGUGGUGUUGGGCAAUGUUUUAAUGCA